rnacentral:rRNA from 1 species
CUCCAAUAGCGUAUACUAAAGUUGUUGCAGUUAAAAAGCUCGUAGUUGAAUUUCUGGUCUUGGACGGCGGUCUACCACAAUUGUGGUACGUACCAACUGUCCGAGUCCAUCCUCGGGGAAAACAUGCCUGUGAUUCAGUUCAUGGGUAUGGGAGACGGAUCGUUUACUUUGAAAAAAUCAGAGUGUUUCAAGCAGGCAUUUGCUCUUGCAUGGAUUAGCAUGGGAUAAUGAAAUAGGACUUUGGUGCUAUUUUGUUGGUUUCGAACACCGAAGUAAUGAUUAACAGGGACAGUCAGGGGCACUCGUAUUCCGCAGAGAGAGGUGAAAUUCUCAGACCCGCGGAAGACGAACCACUGCGAAAGCAUUUGCCAGGGAUGUUUUCACUGAUCAAGAACGAAAGUUAAGGGAUCGAAGACGAUCAGAUACCGUCGUAGUCUUAACCAUAAACCAUGCCGACUAGGGAUUGGAGGAUGUUCACUUUUGACUCCUUCAGCACCUUACGGGAAACUAAAGUCUUUGGGUUCCGGGGGGAGUAUGGUCGCAAGGCUGAAA